rnacentral:lncRNA from 1 species
AGACACUGCCGCAGCAGAGGAAGAACCAGCAUAUCUUUAUUCUCAUCGGCAUCAGACCCUUCGUCAUAGUGUUGUCGAUUAUGUCCACAAGAUUCAAAUAGCUAAAAGCUUCUAGAUGCUUUCUCCCCACCUCACAGCACUGGAAGGCGGUGAACAUGCGAUUCUGAUGACAUUGAUUCUAUCUGAUUGCGAUGGCGUUGUCAUCAAAGACGUUGCGAGAUGAACUCCGGGGUGUGAAUGUCGAAGGCAACGAAGGUACUGAGGGCCGGGACGGAGUCAAGGAGGCCGUAGUCCAGGUUGGCCUGGACGAGCACCAAGGAGAAGAUCCUGGCGCUGCAGCCCGAGAGGUCGCACCAGGAUCUGAAAUAGACCGAGGUGACGAGAUUUUUUUUUAGAGCCUUUUUCUUUUUCUUUUGGUUGAGUCGAAGGUAUCAGUAUACAGAGGGAUGUGAUUUGGCCCGAGAUGCGGGUCAGGUCCAAGCUGGCCCAAAC